rnacentral:rRNA from 1 species
AUUGAACGCUGGCGGCAUGCUUUACACAUGCAAGUCGAACGGUAACAGGCCGCAAGGUGCUGACGAGUGGCGAACGGGUGAGUAAUGCAUCGGAACGUGCCCAGUCGUGGGGGAUAACUACUCGAAAGAGUAGCUAAUACCGCAUACGAUCUAUGGAUGAAAGCGGGGGACCGUAAGGCCUCGCGCGAUUGGAGCGGCCGAUGUCAGAUUAGGUAGUUGGUGGGGUAAAGGCUCACCAAGCCAACGAUCUGUAGCUGGUCUGAGAGGACGACCAGCCACACUGGGACUGAGACACGGCCCAGACUCCUACGGGAGGCAGCAGUGGGGAAUUUUGGACAAUGGGCGCAAGCCUGAUCCAGCAAUGCCGCGUGCAGGAAGAAGUCCUUCGGGUUGUAAACUGCUUUUGUACGGAACGAAACGGCUCUGGUUAAUACCCGGGGCUAAUGACGGUACCGUAAGAAUAGGCACCGGCUAACUACGUG